rnacentral:rRNA from 1 species
GAUGAACGCUGGCGGCGUGCCUAAUACAUGCAAGUCGAGCGAACGGACGAGAAGCUUGCUUCUCUGAUGUUAGCGGCGGACGGGUGAGUAACACGUGGAUAACCUACCUAUAAGACUGGGAUAACUUCGGGAAACCGUAGCUAAUACCGGAUAAUAUUUUGAACCGCAUGGUUCAAAAGUGAAAGACGGUCUUGCUGUCACUUAUAGAUGGAUCCGCGCUGCAUUAGCUAGUUGGUAAGGUAACGGCUUACCAAGGCAACGAUGCAUAGCCGACCUGAGGGGGUGAUCGGCCACACUGGAACUGAGACACGGUCCAGACUCCUACGGGAGGCAGCAGUAGGGAAUCUUCCGCAAUGGGCGAAAGCCUGACGGAGCAACGCCGCGUGAGUGAUGAAGGUCUUCGGAUCGUAAAACUCUGUUAUUAGGGAAGAACAUAUGUGUAAGUAACUGUGCACAUCUUAACGGUACCUAAUCAGAAAGCCACGGCUAACUACGUG